rnacentral:rRNA from 1 species
GACGAACGCUGGCGGCGUGCCUAAUACAUGCAAGUUGAGCGCUGAAGGUUGGUACUUGUACCAACUGGAUGAGCAGCGAACGGGUGAGUAACGCGUGGGGAAUCUGCCUUUGAGCGGGGGACAACAUUUGGAAACGAAUGCUAAUACCGCAUAAAAACUUUAAAUACAAGUUUUAAGUUUGAAAGAUGCAAUUGCAUCACUCAAAGAUGAUCUCGCGUUGUAUUAGCUAGUUGGUGAGGUAAAGGCUCACCAAGGCGAUGAUACAUAGCCGACCUGGGAGGGUGGGCGGCCAGAAUGGGACUGAGACACGGCCCAAACUCAUACAGGAAGCAGCAGUAGGGAAUCUUCGGGAAUGGGCGGAAGUCUGACCGAACAACGCCGCGUGAGUGAAGAAGGUUUUCGGGUCGGAAAACUCUGUUGGUAGAGAAGAAAGUUGGUGGGAGUGGAAAGCGCAUCAAGUGACGGUAACUACCCAGAAAGGGACGGCUAACUACGUG